CUACGGGUCGCAGCAGUGAGGAAUCUUGCGCAAUGGGGGAAACCCUGACGCAGCAACGCCGCGUGAGUGAGGAAGGCCCUCGGGUCGUAAAGCUCUGUCGGGUGGAAAGAAACGUACGAAUGUUAAUAGCAUCUGUGCUUGACGGUACUGCCAAAGGAAGCACCGGCUAACUCCGUGCCAGCAGCCGCGGUAAUACGGGGGGUGCAAGCGUUGUUCGGAAUCAUUGGGCGUAAAGAGCGUGUAGGCGGCUGAAUAAGUCAGAUGUGAAAUGCCUGGGCUCAACCCAGGAAGUGCAUUUGAAACUGUUCGGCUAGAGUAGGGGAGAGGGAAGUGGAAUUCCUGGUGUAGAGGUGAAAUUCGUAGAUAUCAGGAGGAACACCGGUGGCGAAGGCGACUUCCUGGCCCUAUACUGACGCUGAGACGCGAGAGCGUGGGGAGCAAACAGGAUUAGAUACCCUAGUAGUC
rnacentral:rRNA from 1 species